GAUUAUGGCUCAGAACGAACGCUGGCGGCGCGUUUAAGCAUGCAAGUCGAGCGGCAAGGGCCUUCGGGCCCCUAGAGCGGCGGACGGGUGAGUAACACGUGGACAAUCUGCCCCCCGGCCCGGGAUAGCCCAGGGAAACCUGGAUUAAUACCGGAUGAGACGGGACCCGCGAUGGCGGGACCCGGGAAAGGCGCUGCGGCGCCGCCGGGGGAUGAGUCUGCGUCCCAUUAGCUAGACGGCGGGGUAACGGCCCACCGUGGCGACGAUGGGUAGCCGGCCUGAGAGGGUGGACGGCCACAUUGGAACUGAGACACGGUCCAGACUCCUACGGGAGGCAGCAGCUAAGAAUCUUCCGCAAUGGGCGAAAGCCUGACGGAGCCGACGCCGCGUGAACGAAGAAGGCCGUGAGGUUGUAAAGUUCUUUUCGGGAGGGGAACAACCGUGGCAGGGAAUGGCCGCGGGAUGACGUGAAUCCCGGAAUAAGCCCCGGCUAACUACGUGCCAGCAGCCGC
rnacentral:rRNA from 1 species